rnacentral:rRNA from 1 species
AUGGCCGCCGAGGUGGUGGCGCUCUCGCCGGCGUCCCGCCUGCCGUCCCUCUCCUCCAGGCCCGCCGCCUCCUCCUCCUCCCGCGCCCAUCGCGCUGCCCGCUCUGCCCGGUCACCGCCGGCGCUCGCCGUAACGACGUUCGCGUUGGGCCGCCGCCGCCAAGCACUGCUGCUCCUCCGGCCCCGCGCCACCGAGCAGCAAGGGCAGGUGCAGCAGCAGGAGGAGGAGGUGGUGGACGGCAACGUGCUCCCCUACUGCAGCAUCGACGGCAAGAAGAAGAAGACCAUCGGGGAGAUGGAGCAGGAGUUCCUACGAGCCCUGCAGUCCUUCUACUACGACCAGAAGGCCAUCAUGUCCAACGAGGAGUUCGACAACCUCAAGGAGGAGCUCAUGUGGGAAGGCAGCAGCGUCGUCAUGCUAAGCGCCGAUGAGCAGAGGCUCCUGGAAGCCUCCAUGGCCUACAUCGCCGGCAACCCCAUCAUGUCCGACGCCGAAUUCGACGAGCUCAAGCUCAGACUCAAGCAAGAUGGAAGCGACAUCGUGACGGAAGGCCCUAGGUGCAGUCUACGGAGUCGGAAGGUUUACAGCGAUCUGACGGUUGACUACUUGAAGAUGUUCCUGCUCAAUGUUCCAGCGACUAUUGUUGCUCUAGGACUGUUCUUUUUCAUCGAUGAGCUGACUGGCUUUGAGGUCAAUGUAUUCCAGUUUCCGGAGCCCUUCGGAUUCAUAUUCACAUAUUUUGCCGCUUUGCCUCUGAUAUUGGUUACGGCGCAAGUGGUAACCAAGGCCAUAAUAAAUGAUGUCUUAAUCCUGAAGGGGCCGUGUCCGAACUGCGGCACUGAAAAUCUUUCCUUCUACGGGACGAUACUGUCGAUCGAGAGUGGUGGAGCAACGAACAAUGUGAAGUGCGCAAAUUGCAAAACGGUGAUGGUAUACGACUCAAAAACUCGGUUGAUCACACUUCCAGAUUCAUGA